CAAGGGACUGGGACAUCAAACUCCAGGGACAGGCACACCAGGCAGGAAAAUAAAGGAGACGUGAAAGAGGGGGGAGGGAACCCCCCAAAGCCAUAUAAUUCUCAAUUGCUUUGGUCUUUAAUUUCAUCGCCCCAUAAAUGAGGAAAUAUCAGUUCCCAUACUAAAUUUUUAUCCUCGGCUGAUAAAUAUGACGGGGAAUUUUCGUUGGGUCCUCGUAAAAGCGAACAGUUUCGAUCAAACUGGUGGGGAAAGACUUAUGCAGAUAAUACAAACAGAGUGGCUAUAAAGUCUCCGCGUUUCCCGCGGGGUGGGUGGUGGGACAAAUGGCUCCCUGGAUUGACUGCCGCCCCGGCCGGCCAAGUCUCAUCUGGGGCCUAAACAGGCUAACCUUGCCCGGGCCAACUCCCUGUACCGAGUCCACUGCGACCCCUGCAAAUGAAAACACGAAAGCAUUUUAAAUCUCCCUUGGCAUUACAAACAUUUUCUUCCAGUUUUUCCUGGGGUUCAGGAACCCCUGAGCCUUCUCUCUCGCCCUCUGGAUGCAAGAAAUCGCGGAUUUCUUUCCGAAGUCGUCUUCUAGCAGCCGCCGCCGGCUUGGGCCUCCCUAGAAGCGAUCCAGUCUCCUCAGUCCACGCCAGGGCGCCCGGGGCUCAGGUCCCUUUCCCGGCCCGGCUCCAGUCCUUUGGAAAAUCGAAACCCGAGGCUCGGCACCGGGGGAAAUGUGAGGCCACCGGAAAGACAAAAUAUUCUCCAGAUUCCGUUUCCUGAGGAAGGGGUAGAGAGUUUAGUUCGCUUUGGGAGAAAGGCUAUGAAGAAACGGAAAGAACUAUUUGAAACAUACCUUGUCUCUUAUGUCUCGCUUCCCCUUAUUACAAAAAAUAAAAAUAAAAAAAUAAAAUAACAAUUACAAAAAUAGUCUCGUUCUGCUCCAUUCAAAAAUGCCCCCAGCUCCUUGGCUCCGUAAAGGAUACUUCUCUAGGUCGGGUUUCGUCGCCUCUGUUUUCCCGUUUCCCGGUUGAUACGUGACUCCCCCCCAAGCCGCUCGAGGCGGCCCCGAGGGUUCCCUCUUUAUCUCUGGGAAUAUUCCCUGUUUUCAUGGGGGGCAAGGUCAACUGGAAAGCGAGGGCCGGUAGGGCUCGGAGCAAAACAGCCGAACCAGCUCCAAGGCCAAAGCCUUGCAGCCCCUGAGUUGAUAACCCCGGAGCCGCCCACCCAGCCAGGCCCAGACACUGGGAACUCCCCGUCAAUCCCCGCAGGGAACUGGCGACUCAACCAACUUCCAUGACAGGCGGUCCCGAGCUGAACUCCUAAGCCCCAAGGAAGGAGCUCGACGAAGGAGGACGCAGGAGAGGAGAAACUUUAGUUCUGUUCGGGAGUCCUUAACUUUUUCUCUCCCUUUUUCUGCCCACAGGAGCCCUCCCCCAAACCUCACCCCACUCCCAUCCCAAGGGAAGAAGUGGGGGCGGGGGCCAAGGCGAGGAAAAGAGGAGUUACAGGCUGGUUCCCGGGUAAGCUAACCCCAUUCUCCCUAGAACCCCCGCACCCCCCUCUA
ensembl:lncRNA